CAACUCACUCCCUCUCUGCAGACCCAUCCCCCUUCUCCCUCCCCCCAUCUCUCUCUCUCAAAGCCCCUGCAUUGUCGCCAUUGCCGCCCACCGCCAUCACGCCCCGCUCCAUCCCAUCCUCCCCCUCUGUCGUCGCCCCUGCCGCCCAUCGUCGUCGCCCCUACCCAGCCACCGCUGUCAGCUCCCGCCAACGCCACCUAAAGCUCCGCCUCCAGCUCAAAGCGUGAAGCAGCCAUGCAUGAAGUACAAAUCAUGGGCAAUUGAAGUUUGACGAAUGUUAAUUAAAGCCCAGCCAUUGGAGGCCCAGCUGCAUGCACCAUUUGUGGGCCCACAUUAGAGAAGCAGAAUUGAAAGCCGCAAGCCCAAAUCAUGUCCAAAUUGGAAGCCCGUAAUUUGAAGGCCCAGCGCAUGAUCAAUUAAAAAGCCUGUCGCAUGCCUCAUUUAAAAGCCCAGCCCACUGAUUGAUUAAAGCCCAGCAGCGUCAGCGUGAACAUAAGGCGCAGAGCAGAAUACGGCCCCUUUGAUGUAACUUAAUCCAAAGAGACGGGCAGCACUGGAGAGCAUCUUCCGUGAUAUAUGUAUUGAAGAGGACGUGCAGAAGAAACCCUAAGCCCCCAUUCGCAAUUGCAACCAGAAUAAGGGGAAUAAACGCACAGCAGUGCACGAGAGAGAGCGACGAGCGCUGGACGGAGCCCCAUCCGCCAUUUUUGUAAUAGAAUAAGGGGCAGAGAGCAGCACAGUGAGGGGAACUCUCAUGUCCUUUCUUUAUUGUUGACGCUUUGUUUUUAUUUCACGCACAACACUUUUAAUUUCUGUCCUUCUAUGUGAUUUCUGUUAAAUUUCUA